rnacentral:tmRNA from 1 species
GGGGUUGUUUGGUUUUGACAGCUCGUAUGUGGAAAUGUAAGCACGUCGGACGUUGUAAGCAGGUUCCGUAAUAACUAACUUACAUGCCAAUAUAAAUGGCGCAGAAAAUAAUUUUGCUUUGGCUGCUUAACAAGAGUUAAUCACCAAGCUGUUUCCCUGAAAGCCCUUCUUUUCGGCGUUCAGCAAGAAGCAUCGCAAAUGAAAAGAUAGUUUCUGUAAGCCUCGAUACGGAAGCGAAUUCAAAGAGGCUAAGUUGCCUAUAGGUUUGUCUUGUACCAAUAGUCAAUCGAAAACCGAACAAUGACUAAGCGUGUAGAAAGCAUCUUUGCAGCGUGUUUGGACGAGGGUUCGACUCCCUCCAACUCCACCG